rnacentral:sRNA from 1 species
UGCAACAAUAUGGAUGGCAACAAUAAC